rnacentral:rRNA from 1 species
CCUACGGGUGGCAGCAGUGGGGAAUAUUGCACAAUGGGGGAAACCCUGAUGCAGCGACGCCGCGUGAGUGAAGAAGUAUCUCGGUACGUAAAGCUCUAUCAGCAGGGAAGAAAAUGACGGUACCUGACUAAGAAGCACCGGCUAACUACGUGCCAGCAGCCGCGGUAAUACGUAGGGGGCAAGCGUUAUCCGGAUUUACUGGGGGUAAAGGGAGCGUAGACGGCAGUUCAAGUCUGGAGUGAAAGGCGGGGGCUCAACCCCCGGACUGCUCUGGAAACUGUACGGCUGGAGUGCAGGAGAGGUAAGUGGAAGACCUAGUGUAGCGGUGAAAUGCGUAGAUAUUAGGAGGAACACUAGUGGCGAAGGCGGCUUACUGGACUGUAACGGACGUUGAGGCUCGAACGCGUGGGGAGCAAACAGGAGUAGAGACCCCUGUAGUC